rnacentral:rRNA from 1 species
GAUGAACGCUGGCGGCGUGCCUAAUACAUGCAAGUCGAGCGAAUGGAUUAAGAGCUUGCUCUUAUGAAGUUAGCGGCGGACGGGUGAGUAACACGUGGGUAACCUGCCCAUAAGACUGGGAUAACUCCGGGAAACCGGGGCUAAUACCGGAUAACAUUUUGAACCGCAUGGUUCGAAAUUGAAAGGCGGCUUCGGCUGUCACUUAUGGAUGGACCCGCGUCGCAUUAGCUAGUUGGUGAGGUAACGGCUCACCAAGGCAACGAUGCGUAGCCGACCGGAGGGGGUGAUCGGCCACACUGGGACUGAGACACGGCCCAGACUCCUACGGGAGGCAGCAGUAGGGAAUCUUCCGCAAUGGACGAAAGUCUGACGGAGCAACGCCGCGUGAGUGAUGAAGGCUUUCGGGUCGUAAAACUCUGUUGUUAGGGAAGAACAAGUGCUAGUUGAAUAAGCUGACACCUUGACGGUACCUAACCAGAAAGCCACGGCUAACUACGUGCCAGCCACCGCGGUAA